UACGUAGGGUGCGAGCGUUGUCCGGAAUUAUUGGGCGUAAAGGGCUCGUAGGCGGUUUGUCGCGUCGGGAGUGAAAUCCACUGGCUUAACUGGUGGCUUGCUUUCGAUACGGGCAGACUGGAGGUAUGCAGGGGAGAACGGAAUUCCUGGUGUAGCGGUGAAAUGCGCAGAUAUCAGGAGGAACACCUGUGGCGAAAGCGGCUCACUGGACCAUUACUGACGCUGAUGCACGAAAGCUAGGGGAGCAAACAGG
rnacentral:rRNA from 1 species